UACGUAGGGUGCGAGCGUUAAUCGGAAUUACUGGGCGUAAAGUGUGCGCAGGCGGCGUCGCAAGUCGAGUGUGAAAGCCCCGAGCUUAACUUGGGAAUUGCGCUCGAAACUACGAUGCUGGAGUGUGGCAGAGGAAGGUGGAAUUCCACGUGUAGCGGUGAAAUGCGUAGAGAUGUGGAGGAACACCGAUGGCGAAGGCAGCUCGCUGGGACGGUAUUGACGCUGAGACGCGAAAGCGUGGGGAGCAAACAGG
rnacentral:rRNA from 1 species